rnacentral:misc_RNA from 1 species
GAUGAAGAACGCAGCGAAAUGCGAUAAGUAAUGUGAAUUGCAGAAUUCAGUGAAUCAUCGAAUCUUUGAACGCACAUUGCGCACUCUGGUAUUCCGGGGGGCAUGCCUGUUCGAGCGUCAUUAUAACCACUCAAGCUCUCGCUUGGUAUUGGGGUUCGCGGUUUCGCGGCCCCUAAAAUCAGUGGCGGUGCCUGUCGGCUCUACGCGUAGUAAUACUUCUCGCGAUUGAGUUCGAUAGGUCUACUUGCCAGUAACCCCCAAUUUUUACAGGUUGACCUCGGAUCAGGUAGGGAUACCCGCUGAACUUAAGCAUAUCAAUAAGCGGAGGA